rnacentral:tRNA from 1 species
UUUAGCUCAGUUGGUUAGAGCAUCUGACUGUUAAUCAGGGGGUCCUAGGUUCAAGUCCUAG